GCGACGUUGUAAGGGCGGGGUCUCCGCUGCUGGAGAAGCUCCGCGUCGCAGCUCCUCCUGCGUCGCCCUGAGUAAUGAGAAGGGGGAAACCGAGGCUGGAGCAACCGAUGGGACGAGGAAGAGAGGGGGGUCAAACGAAGGCUGGGCAUUUCAUAGUGAGAAACUGGAUACGGAGAUGGAAAAAACCAAAGACCAAGACAGGCUAAACUAGAGGACUGGGGCGGGGCGGUCACCUUGUCUGGGAGGUACAGGUCCCGCCCCAAACAUGGAAGCCCCGCCUCUGAUCCUCUACUAGAAAAAAAAAGCCACCUGGAACCACGCCCACUCACCCCGAGGAGCAGACCCUGGAAGAAAUGGACGUCCGGUUGUGCACGCUCUGGCUCUUGGCACACCAGGAGCAGCAACGAGCGGCUCCGUCCUCGGGGCAUCACCGCGUCGCAGCGUACGAUGGCAUCGAGAGGAUAUGACUCUAGUUCCUCCUGCAGGACGGGGUCGCAGGGUAAACGGAGGCACAGAUUCCUAUUACUACUAGAGCAGUGCCCAGGACUUGGGGCAAGGCAACCGAAAGAGUUCAAGGGCCGAGAAAUAACACCCUGUUUAAGAGCCGAGACUUCAAAGCACAGCUUGCCAAAGUUCCCAGGGGAAGGACGAUUCACCCUCAGAUCUCAGCCCCAUUUCUCUUUCCACCCAAGUGCUCCCUGGCACCUUGGAGACCAGAUCAAGCAGAGUGACUUGACCAGGUGACACUCUGAGUAGCAUCUCCUGUGCCCAGACGCGCCCCUGGCUGUCCAUGACUGCCAGCUUUCUGGAAGCAUCUUCUACAGUGUGCACGCCAUCUUCCUCCCCCAAGCAGAAGGUGACCAGGUGCUGGCAGGAGACAAAAUACGGCAGUUGAGUCCCAGGCAAUGCCAAGCUGGUGCUAGACCGGCUAAGGGCUUCUAGAGGUAGUUCCAGUUCAGCCUAGCCUAGUUCCUUCAGCAUGCUUUCCUCAGACCCUUUGAGUCCAGACCUCAGUUUACCUCCCUCAGACUCAGGACUCCAGGCAUUAACCCUCUUCCUUCAGAUGCAGAAGACAUUAAAAAUAACAACAAUAACAAACAAACAGAAAACCAAAACAAACAAAAUCCCCCCCCCCAAAAACCCAGCAGGGUUCCUUCAGUGGCCAGCACUGAUUAGAUUUCCUUCCAAUUAGGACAUCUUCAAGCCAAGAUUGGAGGCUCUUCAAGGGCAACAAAUAAUAAAGAUAGAACUCUUUUAAAUGCC